ACACUCAUGCUAUAUUUGUAUUGGCCAUAGCAGAAUAUCAGUGUUUUGCUCUUUUAAGGGCAAAGCAAUAAACUGAAUUGUGACCAUUUUGUGUUACUAUGGCACACGCAUGAAGGAAGGGAAAGAAAGGAGAUUUAGGUGUCGUAAGAGGCGACUAAGGAAAGGCGAGGGAUGGGCAGCAGCUCUUAAAAAGACACCAAAACCAAACUGCGAUUGCCAAUCCGCCUGCCAAGCGUGGCAACUGCUGGCAAAACCCCCUUAUGGGGGAGGCUAUGUCCAGCAGUGGACGUUUAUCGGUUGAUACAACAACAGAUUGAACGACAGAAAGUGCGUUUUGAAUGUUACUUGUGGAGAAAUAAUAAUUAACGAGUUACGAGCCUCUCAUACAUGACGUUGGUAGAAAUGGACGUAAAGAUGGCGACCGAUCACCAUUGAGAAAAGAAC